CGGGGGAAAGGCCUUUUCCUUCCUUUUUCAGGACAGACAGGAAAGCCGGGGCUCCUCACUCCCCCUCCCCUCUGUGCCCGGGACGGGAUGCAUGGCCCAAGGGUCCCACACAGCUGGCUAGAUGGUUCUCAGACACAAGCCACCGCAGCCUUCCUUUUCCCCUGCCAGGGGGUUAAACUUUAUCAGAGAGUAAUUAAGCUUUAACCCUGCUGUUGAAAUCACUUGCAGACGAAUAAGAAGUUCUUCCCCAGGCAUUUUUAAACCUUUUUUCACUCCCCUUUUCCACCUCCUCAACAAGUAAACCCUUAAAGUUUUUUUUUUGUUUGUUUGUUUGUUUUUUUUUAGAAGACACUUUACUAGGCCACUCCCUCUGCUCCCCAGCUAUCACUGUAUGCUCUGCAAAGUUUUGCUUGUGAAAUAAAUCCUCUAUUUUGUUUUACAUCCUGAGGCCAUGGCUUAUAACUCUGGCGGCAAGGAUUUGUUUAGCAAUCCUGCCUUAGGGGAUGAGCCCUCUCUAAUUCAAUAUCUGCAUGUCCCCUGUCUCUUAAAGGGCCUCACUCACGGCAUAUGGAACUAACCACGCCCCUAACUAAGAAGGCACACCUUAGUUGCAGUUAGCACACAAUUAAAGCAACUCUCCAAGUUUUACCUUAAAGUUCAAAAUUGCUAGGAGUUGAAACUACUAGAAAUAUAUUUACAUGCAAGAGUCAAAGAAACUUUGAACUAUUUAUGGCCUUUAAUAAUUAAGUAAGGUAUACUCCUGUGAUCAAGACUUGGAGCAUAUUUGUUUCUCUCUGCCUGGUUCCUCUAGAAAUUGGAAACUAUCAGAACAGAGACCAACUCCGUUUCCCGAUCCCUUUGCAAUCUGCAUUGAACCAUGAGUCAAGUUCUUGAUAAAGGAGUGAAAAUGUGUGUGACACAUGUGCUCAUGGAUUAUUGUCCGAAGCAAGACAUGUGACCAAGCCUAACAUCAACUGGGUGAAGAGCUAUAUGUUCCUUUCUCAAGAGGCACUACAAGUGACAUGCCACUGG
rnacentral:lncRNA from 1 species